AGAGAUCAAAUUUGUAUGGAGCUGGACAGCGUCCCUACGUUUGAGGCUUGAGGCGCUGUUCCAACUCCAUACAAAUUUGAGUUA
rfam:Bombyx mori DNA, contig: Bm_scaf54_contig27403, strain: p50T/Dazao, build 2, whole genome shotgun sequence.